ensembl:lncRNA
ACAGAAAACUUUUGAUGAUGUGGAAGGGUGCUACCAUCUCACACAUGAACUCACACUCCAGUUGAACUUUAUCAUCUGAAGACCAGGAUUACAUUUUACAGGGCCAUGGCAGGACAGUGGCAGGGCUGCUGGAGUUUGAAGCUCAUGAUCAUCUUCAGCCUCCUCGGCCUCAUUGAAGAGUUCGAGGUGAAAGAAGAUGAGUGGGAGGAGCUCGGCUCUGACAUCGCUGCACUGCAUCGACUCCAAGGACUGUCUGAACACAUGUUUGAUGAAAGCUUUAUGAACACCUCAACAACCAGGGUAAAUGGCUACCACCAAUCAAGAUUUGGAAGAUCUGUGAAAAGUUGGUUAUUAAUGAGCCAAAAAGCCCGUUAGGAUUUAUGACAGCAGAUCAUCUGCCUCCUCUGCACUCCCUCCUUCACUACAUCCAUGGAUCUUCUCUAAGGAUUUCCUGCUGCCUGGCAGCUCCAUCUUCACAUCCUUAGUCCAGUGUAUCCACCCUCCC